rnacentral:rRNA from 1 species
AACGAACGCUGGCGGCAGGCCUAACACAUGCAAGUCGAACGAGAAGCUUUCCUUCGGGAAAGCGGAAAGUGGCAGACGGGUGAGUAACGCGUGGGAACGUGCCUUUCGGUCCGGAAUAACUCAGGGAAACUUGGGCUAAUACUGGAUACGCCCUUCGGGGGAAAGAUUUAUCGCCGAAAGAUCGGCCCGCGUCAGAUUAGCUUGUUGGUGGGGUAAUGGCUUACCAAGGCGACAAUCUGUAGCUGGUCUGAGAGGAUGAUCAGCCACACUGGGACUGAGACACGGCCCAGACUCCUACGGGAGGCAGCAGUGGGGAAUAUUGGACAAUGGGCGCAAGCCUGAUCCAGCCAUGCCGCGUGGGUGAAGAAGGCCCUAGGGUUGUAAACCCCUUUCAGCGGGGAAGAUAAUGACGGUACCCGCAGAAGAAGCCCCGGCUAACUCCGUGCCAGCAGCCGCGGUAAUACGGAGGGGGCUAGCGUUGUUCGGAAUUACUGGGCGUAAAGCGCGCGUAGGCGGACUUUCAAGUCAGGGGUGAAAUCCCGAGGCUCAACCUCGGAACUGCCUUUGAUACUGUAAGUCUUGAGUCCGAGAGAGGUGAGUGGAAUUCCUA